rnacentral:lncRNA from 1 species
CAAGGCCCAUGGUUGAUACAUUGGGGGUCCCACUAUAUGAUCCCUCCCUGAUUCAAAUCUAAACGCCAAUAGGGCGGCGCCACGUGGCCACCCCUUUAUUAAAAAUAAAAUUAAAAAAGAAAAGAAAUAUAAAUAAUAAAAGAAAAUCGAAAUUCAGUCUCAUUUUUCUCGUUUCCCUUAUCCCUCUCGUCCGAAAGUCUCUCUCUCUCCCUCUCUCUCUCAACCAAAUAUUUUCACUCAAAUCUCUCUAUUUAAUAAACUUAACUCA